GAGCGCUCCGUCUCGCUGUUCUGGCUUGGGAACAGCCUUGCUAGCUUCUGUUCCCAAGCCAGAACAGCGAGACGGAGGGCUC